AGUGAACGCUGGCGGCGUGCUUAACGCAUGCAAGUCGAACGGUAACAGGUUAAGCUGACGAGUGGCGAACGGGUGAGUAAUGUAUCGGAACGUGCCCAGUCGUGGGGGAUAACUGCUCGAAAGAGCAGCUAAUACCGCAUACGACCUGAGGGUGAAAGCGGGGGAUCGCAAGACCUCGCGCGAUUGGAGCGGCCGAUAUCAGAUUAGGUAGUUGGUGGGGUAAAGGCCUACCAAGCCUACGAUCUGUAGCUGGUCUGAGCGGACGACCAGCCAAACUGGGACUGAGACACGGCCCAGACUCCUACGGGAGGCAGCAGUGGGGAAUUUUGGACAAUGGACGCAAGUCUGAUCCAGCCAUGCAGCGUGCGGGAAGAAGGCCUUCGGGUUGUAAACCGCUUUUGUCAGGGAAGAAAAGGUUCUGGUUAAUACCUGGGACUCAUGACGGUACCUGAAGAAUAAGCACCGGCUAACUACGUGCCAGCAGCCGCCGUAACAC
rnacentral:rRNA from 1 species